rnacentral:rRNA from 1 species
UACGACUACAUAUCAGGCAUAUCAAUAAGCGGAGGAAAAGAAACUAACAAGGAUUCCCUUAGUAACGGCGAGUGAAGCGGGAAGAGCUCAAAUUUGAAAUCUUCAAGGGUUUACCUUUACGAAUUGUAGUUUAAAGAAGUGUUUUCUGUUGGAGUUUCGGUAAAAGUUCUUUGGAAUAGGACAUCAUAGAGGGUGAGAAUCCCGUAUUUGACCGUUACUUUCCAGCUGUGUGAUACACUUUCAAAGAGUCGGAUUGUUUGGGAAUGCAGUCCAAGAUGGGUGGUAAAUUUCAUCUAAAGCUAAAUAUUGGCGAGAGACCGAUAGCGAACAAGUACCGUGAGGGAAAGAUGAAAAGAACUUUGAAAAGAGAGUUAAACAGUACGUGAAAUUGUCAAAAGGGAAGCGUUUGACACCAGUGUUGUUUAGUUGAAAAUCAAUUCAAUAGUUUUUGAUUCUAAGUAGUAUUGACUUCAUCAGCUUGCUGCUUUCUUCUCAGAAAUUAUUGAAUGCACUUUUCAGUUAACAAGUCAACAUCAAUUUCUUUUGUUGUAAAAGGGUAAGAGGAAGGUGGCUUGCGCUUCGGCUCACGUGUUUAUAGCCUUUUAUCUCUGCAAUCGGAGAGAUUGAGGUCUGCAGCGUAGAUCCUUCGGGGUUAGAUACAUUGGUGCUAAGCUAUAGCCUUGUAUAGACAACUUGUUGACUAUGCUCAGUCAUGUAGCUUACUCGCUGAUGCUAUUUUACCUACGCUUAGGAUGUUGAGCGCAUGUCUCUCUCU